AAUUCCCUCCUGAAAAUUUUAAACAAGUUGAAAUAAGCUAAAAGCUCUCGUAUCCCUCAUAAUUCAAGAACUACCAUAGCCGCUACCCUCAUCUGGUGUUCCGUCUCUCACCAAGCACCACCGCCAACCACCAUGCCUGUCCAAUAUUAGCCUUAAAUAUUGGUUGGGAUUCUUGAAUAAAAGCAGAAGCACUUGAAACGUGGAAAGCAUGAGCUUCUUGAUUUUCUCACACGGUUUAAGGCAGAAACACUUGAAAUGUGAAAAACACGAGCUUCUUGAUUUUCUCACACGGUUUAAGGCAGAAACAACUUGAAAUGUGGAAAACACGAGCUUCUUGAUUUUCUCGCACGGUUUAAGGCAGAAGCACUUGGCUACUCUUGUAAACAAGUUAAGAAACAAUACUAAAAGGAAACUUCAAAUUUUCGAAACAUAUGCCCAUUGUUUUGUCUUAUUUGAAAUUGUGAUCUAGUUUAUUACCUUUGUGAUUUACAUAUAGUAUUUUGUACUAGUAGUAUAUAACAUCAGUUUUUGAAAAUACCUAUAAGAAAAUAUUUUUGCACUUUUGUAUUUGAAAUUCCUAGUCUGUUUGAUUGACUACUUCUUUUUGUGGUAUCCUUUCUUCUGCUUAGUUGGCUUCAGAUGGAAAGCUACAAGGAAGGAACAUUUCAAGUUUAUGGAACUUGCUUUAGAAUAGGUAUAGACCUCUUAUAUUGUUGAUAUAGUAUAUGUUUGUGUAUGUUUUAGGUUGAUGAGUCUCUGAGUAAACUUAAGGCUAUAAGUUUAACUGCUGAACGACAAUACAAGUUUAAGGCUAUAGUUAGCAGAAGUAUAUAUUAGUUUUCUUUUUUAAAGCGUUCUAUUUUCUUGAUAUGUGUCUACAUAUUCUGCUUACAGGUAUGAAUUGUUUAUAAAAGCUUUCAAUUAUAUUUUGGAAAUAUGGACUAGAUACACAAGCAAUUGAUGAAGAGAAACAGGCAUCCCUUCGGUGGGAGGUGCAUCAAGGGAUAGAGCUCAAGUAAGAGGAUUUUGAUUUAGGCUUUGUCUUAAAGGUGCAGAAUCCGUUGUGUUAGCUCUCCCCCUCAACAAGAAGUUCAACAUUUCAGUCUUUUGAGACAAUCUACUAUUGGCUCUCAAUAUAUCAUAGGAAGGACUUUCUCCACGUGAGAGCUUAUUUACCUCAGAAACAUGUUAUUGGAUAUGCAUUGGAGCACCUCUUGGAUUUUCACUUCAACGUCCUCGUUGAUAAUUAUCACUAUCUAACCUCAUGUUAGCUUGUUUUUUCUUCUAACUUUAUUGUGUUUGUUAUAGAAGAGUUAUGUAAUGCGGAUGCUAUAAGUUUUAGCUAUACAAUUGUGUAUCUGGAAUUUAUUUUGGCAAACUUUAGAUGUCAAUUUGAAUGAAAUAAGUUAUUUCCAAA